rnacentral:rRNA from 1 species
UACGUAGGGUGCGAGCGUUGUCCGGAAUUACUGGGCGUAAAGAGCUCGUAGGUGGUUUGUCGCGUUGUUCGUGAAAACUCACAACUCAAUUGUGGGCGUGCGGGCGAUACGGGCAGACUGGAGUACUGCAGGGGAGACUGGAAUUCCUGGUGUAGCGGUGGAAUGCGCAGAUAUCAGGAGGAACACCGGUGGCGAAGGCGGUUCUCUGGGCAUUACCUGACGCUGAGGAGCGAAAGUGUGGGGAGCAAACGGG